rnacentral:rRNA from 1 species
CCAUUUAGAGGAAAGUAAAAGUCGGUAACAAGGNUUUCCGUAGGUGAACCUGCGGAAGGAUCAUUA